CCUUGAUAUCAGACACAGUCUCCCACUCAUUAGGCUAUGAUGGUGAAACUAUAGCUCAGCUCAUUGAGGAUCUUCAUGUGGUAGUAGGUCAAGUCCUGGCCAUCUGGGUCCAGACACAGGAUGGCAUCAGGGAGAGCCUACCUCUCACAGAUGGGUGAUGUGUGGGUGACAUCACCAAAGUCCAUCACAAUACAUGUGGUAUGAUCAGAGGCAUACCGGGACAGGACAGCCUGGAUGGUAUUGAAGGUCUCACUAUGAUCUGGGUUGUCAUCUUGUUUCUAUUGGCCAUGGUGUUCAGGAUGGGAUGGGGACUUGGUCAGCAGCUGCAGUGCUCCUUGGGUGGUACAUGCAGCUCAUUGUAGAAAGUAUGGUACCACAGCUUCUUCGAGUUAUCCCAAUUGGUAAUGAUGCCAUGAUCAACUUGAGGAUCAGUUUUCUGCAUUUGCUCUGAGCCUCAUUGCCCAUGUUCAGCUCCCUCUGGGCCAUGCCCAUCAUCAUGCCUUGGUGCCAGGGUUGUCCACUGAUAAAGGAGAACAUGGCACCAUAGGUGUGUUGGCAUCCCCAGAAAAGCCAGCUUUGUAUGUGCUGGAGCCAUUGUCAAUGACAAGCAUGGCACGUGAUUUCUUCUUCCAUCGAGUUCAGCAGUGGAACUGUGGAACCUGUUGGGGAAAUGUAGCAGGACUGGGAAUACUGACCAAUGGUGAUUUGGUGGUGACACAAGUGAAUGGUAGUGAGACAACUGAAUGGGAAGAGGGACAGAGAAGAUUACAUCCCAUAUUGGAGUACCUGCUUUCAAGUCUAAGCUUCACUCCUGGUUCCAGUUCCCUGCCAGUGCACACCCUGGAAGGCAGCAGGUGGGACACGUAGCUGAGUCUUUGCAUUCCACUGACCUCCUCCCCACAUACAUCUUAUAGUUUAUCUUGUAAAGGACCAUUUUGCUCGUUAGCAUCAUUUAGCAAUCAUAUUCAAUUCCAUGAUUAAAGAAAAUCCCCAGAUAUUGUUAUUUUUCCCCAGUGGUUAAGGUUUUCCCUUUAUAGUCAUUUCCCUUUAUAAGUCAUUCUUUCCUGAUGACAUCUUCCAAAAAGCUGUAUCACAGGUAUAGCCUAGGAAUUCUGUAGGCAAAAAUUUCACCUCCUAAUGACUCCUCUCCAUCUCUUCCAGGCCUUCUGUUCUUGAUAGGCAGUCCCUUCCAUUGAUCUGCUAUCAACUAUUCCAUUGAUUGGCUGUGCUAUGUCAGAUAUGUUUCUCCCAAUAAACUAGUAGAGUCUUCAUAUCCA
rnacentral:lncRNA from 1 species